AUAGUUUUUAGCAUUUCAAUGCACAAAGGAGUAAAAUACUCAGAUCUUUUCUUUUAUUAAGGUUAAUGUUUUUCGUCCCUGUCCAUUUGUGUGCCCCUAGUAUCUUAGCAGACUGUCUCCUUGGCAGGAGUGCAUAUGCAUUUUGCACCACACUGAUUCUGCAGAGCAGAAUCCUUUUGGUACCAGAUCGUCUCUGAUGUUAUAUUCAUUUCAGCUUCUCUGACACUUUAGCUUACUGAAUGGUGUUGGAAUAUCUUAUUUUCUGGUACAAAUUUGAAAACAUUUAUACCAAAUAUCUCAUUUGGUAUAAUAAACCAUUGCUUUUGAUACUGGCCUAAAAGAAUUUCUACAGUUUUCUUUCAAGAAAGAAGCAAGGAAUACAGAGAAAUAGCUUGUUUAACCUCAAGACUUCACAUAACUAUUGCUGUAUUUUAUUUUAGGAUUGUGAAAAAGCAUUUGAAGGCAGGUUUAAGGAGACAGACUUUUUUAUCUGAAGCCAAAGCAGACAAAAAGAAAAGAAACUUGCAAAUGGAAAAAAAAGAAAUUAACAAAUGGAGGCAAUUCGAGUGUGAGCUUCAACGAUGAAACUAUAUAGAUUGACUUAAGAGUUUGGGGGAGCACAGGUUAGAGCAGUUGUCCACUGUAGUUGAACCCCUAAAUAAAUAAAUAAAUACCAAAAAAAACCCCAAAGUUUUACAAUACAACCUAGUGGUUAGAAUGAAAUGCCACUCCCCCCUUUGGGGGGGGUGUUUGUUUGUUUGUUUGUUGAGACAGGGUUUCUCUGUAGCCCUGGCUGUCCUGGAACUCACUCUGUAGACCAGGUAGGUCUCGAACUCAGAAAUCCACCUGCCUCUGCCUCCCAAGUGCUGGGAUUAAAGGUGUGCGCCACCACUGCCUGAAAUGCCACCUUUUUAGAGCAUCACACCCAUGUUGGGUAGCUCACGGGUAUCUGUAAUUCCAGCUCUGGGAUCUAGUGCCCUCACUGCUGUGGAUACCUGCAUCGGUUUGCUCAUCCCACAUCCAGGUUAUACAUAUGCAGAAUCAAAGAUCCUGUUUCAAAAAUACAGUUUUACUGGAACAUAGCCAUAAUAGUCAUAAUCAGUCACAUAUUCAUUCACCAGCAUCAUGUUCAGCUCGGAUGCCUGAUGGCCCGCCAGGCUUCUCUGUCCUGGUGAACAGUGUGCCAACUCAUAGUCUGGCAUCCUAUUUUAUGAUUGGAGG
rnacentral:lncRNA from 1 species